rnacentral:misc_RNA from 1 species
GAUUUUUUAUAAUCAUUAAUAAAUUAAUCCAUUAUACAUACAAUAAUUACACUAAAUAAAUUCUCGUCAAUUACAUAAUGAAAUGAAAAGGAAUUUGCUUUACCCAGGCAAAGCGAGCGCCAGCGGGUUUAUCACCAUCUUCCUCCAGCCCAGACUAUGUGGGCAACCCUUGCAGCUGAUGACGAUUUGAAUAUUUGAUGAUACAGCACAGGCAGGAAUUUACAUCGUUCAUUCAGCAAGAAGACAGUUCAUUCAGCAAGAAGACAGAUAAUGCUGAAAUAAUUUCUCAUAUUUUCUUGAAAUUAAUUAGCUGACAUAUACACUGUAUCCAUAUGAUCAACAAGAUGAUAAAAAAAAAAAAA